AUGGAUCUAGACCUGGGCAUCUACAUCAAAUACCGACUGGAUGGCUCACUAUUCGACCUUCGCCGCCUGACUGCAAAAACAAAGACAACAGAGAGACUCAUCCUGGAAGCUCUCUUUGCAGAUGACUGUGCUCUCAUGGCCCACCAAGAAAAUCAUCUCCAAACCAUUGUGGACAGGUUCUCCACCGCAACAGAACUGUUUGGCCUGACUAUCAGCCUCAGCAAAAUAGAGGUGCUGUUCCAACCUGCACCAGGGAGGCCAACGAACCAGCCGUUCAUUACAAUCGACAGCACUCAGCCUUCUAACAUCAACACUUUCAAGUACCUGGGCAGCACCAUUGCCAACGACGGGUCCCUAGACCACGAGGUUAAUGCCAGGAUCCAAAAGGCCAGCCAGGCACUCGGGCGGCUGCGCUGCAAAGUCCUCCAACACAGCGGUGUAAGCACUGCGGCGAAGCUCAAGGUGUACAACGCAGUGGUCCUCAGCUCGCUCCUGUACGACUGUGAGACAUGGACACUGUACCAGAAGCACAUGAAACAGUUGGAGCAAUUCCACCAACGCUCCCUCCGGUCAAUCAUGAGGAUCCGAUGGCAGGACCGAAUCACCAACCAGGAAGUCCUCGACAGAGCCAACUCCACCAGCAUCGAAGUCCUGGUCCUCCAAACCCAGCUACGAUGGUCUGGACACGUCAUCCGCAUGGACCCACAGCGAAUACCAAGACAGGUAUUCUACGGUGAACUGUCAGCUGGACUCAGGAAACAAGGCCAACCAAAGAAAAGAUUCAAGGAUCAGCUAAAGUCCAACUUGAAGUGGGCUGGCAUGACACCAAAGCAGCUAGAACUCGCUGCCUCUGACAGAAGCAGCUGGCGAACCCACAUUAACAAUGCCGCCACCACCUUUGAAGAUGAGCGACGUCGACGUCUUGCCGCUGCGCGUGAACGCCGACACCAGGCCACAACCGCACCUCCCAUAACAACUGGCGUCCCAGGCCCCAUGUGCCACACACUGUGCGCCUCAGCCUUUGGACUCCAAAGGCACAUGAGGGUACAUCAAUAG
rnacentral:lncRNA from 1 species